UCAUGUCACAUGAUCUUGUGACCUGCGCUAGCCUAGCUUUACUUUGCGGUUCAGUGUUUGCAAACAAACAUUAGCCCGUUUGGUAAAAUACAUAGCACAAUUUUGUUAUUUUCCCACAGGUUCUUUAGCGAUUAGUCCCACCUGGCUAAGGUGCAAUGUCGUCGUGGGGACAAGGCGGCAGACGGCCUCAACCCAAACGAAGGUAGUGUUAAACCUCUUCGACCAUUUCGAAGACCAGCACCAUACCCCGUGAGAGAAGACUGGAUGAACGACCACAAGGACUCUGAGCAGUAGUUAACUUGAUUACCCCAAAUCGAUAGGUCACUGUUUGCAGGACCGCGGCCUCUGUGGAAAUGAUUUACCUGCAGGCGGAGUUGGGCCUGACCCGGGCCCUACAAGAUCUCCGCUCCGACGGUUCCACCUUAUGUAUUCUCGUCCAACAGACCAAUGUAGCUCUGUCCUCGUGCACAGUAAUCAAAUUUUCAGAAUCCCUCAAAAUCUCCCGCAACAUGCCCAAGGAACAUGCCAUGGACUUUGUGUGGGCUUGGGAAGCGGAUGCAGCAGAAUGACCCUGCAGAAACGGGGGCGCAGGUGGCCGAGCUGGUGGAUGACUACCUAGAGAGGGAGAAGGUGGAGAAGCUGUGCCCUCUGACACCCGCCAGCUGCUCUUCCUGGCCGAUGGAGUCCACCUGUACCCCGAGGAGCUGAGCACCAUUGCAGAGUAUCUCCACAACCGCCAGGACCCAUCUGCAAGCCACGUCCACUGAGACAGGUGAUGGCCCCCUUCCUGAGAGGACGAAGAUGUUGCCUCCUGGUUUAGGGAAACCCCCACCGCUGCUACCCAUGGCCCCCUCAUGGUCCCUCGCGCCCCCCUUUCUACACACGGCCUCCACGGUCCAUUACAUCGAGGACCACCACGGCCCCCGAGGAGCCCCACCCUCACUGAAGAGCCUUCAUAUGGGACCCCAGCCUGGGCUGUUCACCUGUCCAGGUGGUCUCCCUAACACACCCAGGCGCUGAGAGAACAUCAUCUCUAGAACACCAUGGACAGACGGCAGAAAGCAUCAGGACUCAUUGUCAUACUGGCCUGAGGAGUGGGAUCUCCUUCAGCUCAGUGCCCUCUGCUGCCCCCUCAGGAACCCACACUAGCACUCCUCAUCCAGAGCCAUGUGUAGAUAGAGGAUCCAUAGUUCAGCAAGCUGAAAUGGAAUAUUGUGAGUUGCCUUGGACUAUUUGGGAGUUCACAGCUCAAUUUUUAUGAGUGUGAGUUGACCCACUACUAUGUUCAGGAGCCAGUCAGAACAAAUGAUCCGAUUUUAAGUUUCAUUCUUUGUUUUAUAUUUGUCUGUUUUUGUCUUUUAACUGGAAAUUGUCUGUAAAAUGCUGGUAAUACAUAACACAAUAAAGGCUAAACAAGCCCAAAUAUCU